UGUAUAGAGGUUAUAGGUCUCUGUUUGCUGGGUAUCAGCGGGUGGAGAUCUCCUUGUACAGAGGGUAUAGGUCUAUGUGUGCUGGGUAUCAGAGGGUGGACAUCUCCCUGUACAGCGGGUAUAGGUCUCUCUGUGUGCUGGGUAUAAGCUGGUGUAGAUUUCCUUGUAUAGAGGGUAUAGGUAUCUGUGUGCUGGGUAUCAGAGGGUGGAGAUAUCCUUGUAUAGAAGGUGUAGAUCUAUCUGUGCGGUGGGUGUCAGAGAGUGGAGAUCUCCUUGUAUAGAGGGUAUAGGUCUCUGUUUGCUGGGUAUCAGCGGGUGGAGAUCUCCUUGUACAGAGGGUAUAGGUCUAUGUGUGCUGGGUAUUAGCGGGUGGAGAUCUCCUUGUAUAGAGGUUAUAGGUCUCUGUGUGCUGGGUGUCAGCGGGUGGAGAUCUCCCUGUACAGAGGGUGUAGGUCUCUGUGUGCUGGGUAUCAGCGGGCGGAGAUCUCCCUGUACAGAGGGUGUAGAUCUUUCUGUGCGGUGGGUAUCGGUGGGCUUAGAUCUCUUUAUAUAGGUCUCUCUGUGUGCUGGGCAUCCCAAAUGCGUGUUCAUUAUCGAAGUCUACACUUAUUACGUUUCAAUGUACAUUUCAUCACAAAAUAUCCUGAUUAGAACUACCUGGCAUGACUUUUCAUAUUUUACACUGUCUGACCCCAACCUGUGUUGCUUUUGAAAUCACUUUUAGUAAAAAUAAUACGUGUUGUUCAUAGGCGUAACACGUUCAGAGAUAACACUUAGUGGAGUGCAUUCGGUGCAUUAAUCAAAUGAUAUCUUCUUAAUCAUAGCCUCCUUUUUUUCUGCUUCAUUCAAAGGGUAAAUUGUUGUACGUAUGUGUAUCGGAAUCAAUACAGAGGGUGAAACACUUUCAAUUUACUGAACA